CAGAUAAAGUAUUUGAAGUAAUGCUGGCUACGGACCGUGCCCACUAUGCAAAAUGUAACCCUUAUAUGGAUUCUCCACAAUCAAUAGCAGGUUUUUUGCUGAACUGCUGAGCCUUGGCAGUGGGCGCCUUUGAGGCUUAGAAGUGCCUCAGGAUUCUGUCAGCCAGCUGCCAUGCUUUCUUCUUUUGAAGCACUAUGACAGUCAGCGAGAAGAUCCUGGGGGCUUCUGAACCCGAAGGCACCUGCUACCACCGCUCAGUGAAAAUUGCUUCAGAGGCAGAAGCAGGUUUCCAAGCAACAAUCAGUGCUCCACACAUGCAUGCAUAUGCACUAGAACUUCUAUUUGAUCAACUGCAUGAAGGAGCUAAAGCUCUUGAUGUAGGAUCUGGAAGUGGAAUCCUUUCUGCAUGUUUUGCACGUAUGGUUGGAGCUAGUGGAAAAGUCGUAGGAAUUGACCACAUUAAAGAGUUAGUAGACGACUCAAUAAAUAAUGUCAGAAAGGACGAUCCAACACUUUUGUCUUCAGGGAGAGUGCAACUGGUUGUGGGGGAUGGAAGAAUGGGAUAUGCCGAAGAAGCCCCUUAUGAUGCUAUUCACGUAGGCGCUGCAGCCCCCGUUGUGCCCCAGGCACUAAUAGACCAGUUAAAGCCUGGUGGAAGAUUGAUAUUGCCAGUCGGUCCUGCGGGUGGAAAUCAGAUGCUGGAGCAGUACGACAAGCUGCAAGAUGGCAGUGUCAAAAUGAAACCUCUGAUGGGAGUGAUAUACGUGCCUUUAACAGAUAAAGAAAAGCAGUGGUCCAGUUGCUGGUACAGUGCUACACCUGGCUGAGCGAAUGGUUUCUUUUGGAGCUGAUAAAGCUGCCUUAUGAAAUCAGCUGACAGGGACGAACUGUAAAAGCAACAUCAGCUUGACCAGUAUAUAAUAUUACAGUGGAUUGCUCAUCUCAGUCAAAGCUUUUGAAAACCACAGCAUCACAGCUUGUUUUGGACUUUGUUACACUCUUUUUUUCAGCAUGAAAAUGUGUGGUUUUGUAGGGUUUCUAAUUCUUCAAAGAGGCACAAAAGCCAAAUUGGUAGAGAAAGGAUGCAAAGUAUACAUUUUACUUUAAAAUAUUAAGCGAAGGCGUUCUGCAAAAUGGGAAAGUUAGUUUUUUAAUUGAUUUGGAGGAGUGGUUUUUCUUUUCUUAGACACUUAAAUUCUGUUCCAAUAUUAAUUUUUCAGAUUGCGUUUGUGUAUCAGAUAACAUCACCAUUCAUAAGUUAAAAUUCUUUGUUUUUUUUGAUGUCUGUGAGAUGCUACUAAGAAAAUAGAGAUGAGCUCCCUUUUUAAAGCUUUUGAUGUGGUGUCAUAGAAUAGCAUGUUGUAGAUACAAUCAGCUGCUUUGGUACCUUAAAACUAAGCAAUUGUAAAUAUUAAUAUUUAGGAAGGUGGAAAGUGAUGUUCCUUAACACUCAGCAGUUCAGAUUGGACAUAACUGACAUAGUUCUUCAUUUCUCUUUAAAAUGAUAUUAGACUUGUAGCUUAGUUUUAUUCCUUCUGUUUCUAACUUGCUGCUGUUAAUGUAUGAAUUUAACAUGCUGUGUAAGCUGUGUCUUAGUUACCGAACAGUUUAUGCAGUGCUGCUUUGCCAAAUAAAGUUAAAAGUAAAAGA